UACGGAGGGAGCUAGCGUUAUUCGGAAUUACUGGGCGUAAAGCGCACGUAGGCGGCUUUGUAAGUUAGAGGUGAAAGCCUGGAGCUCAACUCCAGAAUUGCCUUUAAGACUGCAUCGCUUGAAUCCAGGAGAGGUGAGUGGAAUUCCGAGUGUAGAGGUGAAAUUCGUAGAUAUUCGGAAGAACACCAGUGGCGAAGGCGGCUCACUGGACUGGUAUUGACACUGAGGUGCGAAAGCAUGGGGAGCAAACAGG
rnacentral:rRNA from 1 species